AAAAGAAUCUUCCAUCCAUUGCUCGUGAACUAGUUCAACUCUUUGGGAUGGACGGGGGGAUGGUAGUGGACAUUGGAACUAAUUGGUUAUUAGUCCAUGAAUACAUUUCUUUUUCUUCGCUAUUUGGAGUGCUUCAUGUAGCUUUUCCUUGUUUGACUGCAGGUUUGUAUUCUGAGAUCAAACAAUACAUCAGGCCUUCAAAUCUCUCUCAGUGAUGGGAGCUGGGUUUCAGUCCCACCUGACCACAACUCCUUUGUCAUUGUUGGUUAUUCCUCGCAGGUAUGGGCAAACAAAGCCAGUUUAUGCAUAUCGUUUGAUGGCACAUGGAACUAUGGAAGAAAAAAAUAUAUAAACGGCAGGUACAGACAAAACAUGACUACUAAUAAAUGAUGUGUAUGAGGCUUUACUUACCAUCAAAUUGUGAAUCUCUAGAUCCCAUUCACAUGUAUUUACUGUAUGGUUUAUAUGUGUAUUUGGAUGGUAUCCUUAUUGUUGCAUGUUUGAUGUUUGCUCUGGUAGUUGGAAUGCUGAAGUUUAAAGAAUUAGUAGAGGCUUCUAUUGUGGUUCUCAGAUGUCGAAGGGCAUCAAAGCAUGCCUGCCCACUUUCAGUCCCAACUGAUGUACGGUUUUGCCUGUUUGGCUAUAUCAGGCUAUGUGGCUGCAUGGAAAGUUGUAUUGCUAUAAACAUUUGUAGCAUGGAAAAUGGACAUUCAUGUGCAUUUGUAGUCUGAAAACAUUAAAUAGACCGUUAACUGUUUUAUUGGUAUUGUGCAGUUUCUACUGGUCUACUUGUUGAGGAGACAUUGUCUGGUGCACCAGUCCAUACAGAUAAGGAGCCUCCUUAUUGUUGAAACAAAGGCACUUAGACAUUGGUGAAGCUGAAUUUUCUAGAUUCCAUUCUGGUACCAAACGUGGCGAUAUUGUUGGUGUCACUGGAAUUCCAGGUUGGUUGGUUUUCAUUUAUGUUCUUCAAUUCUAGCUAGCAAAACUUUUCCUGUAUCUUAUCCUUUGGGUAUUGGCUGUACUUGCAUGUCAAAAUAUUGAUUUCUUCCUUUGUAAACAGUGACACUUGAGCUUUGUAGGAGAAAGUGGAUCACUGAUUAUGUUAGACUUUUGGUAUUUGCAAAAGAGUGGAAAGGAGCAGCAAUGUGUUCAAAGUCUUAUGAAUAAAAGUUCAUUGGUCUAUUGUACAUUUGUGAUUUCCGAUAUGUUAAAAAUCCCAAAACUAGAUAAUAAAUAUUAUGCUAAAAGUAUCAU